rnacentral:rRNA from 1 species
AUGAACGCUAGCUACAGGCUUAACACAUGCAAGUCGAGGGGCAGCAUGGUCUUAGCUUGCUAAGGCUGAUGGCGACCGGCGCACGGGUGAGUAACACGUAUCCAACCUGCCGUCUACUCUUGGCCAGCCUUCUGAAAGGAAGAUUAAUCCAGGAUGGCAUCAUGAGUUCACAUGUCCGCAUGAUUAAAGGUAUUUUCCGGUAGACGAUGGGGAUGCGUUCCAUUAGAUAGUAGGCGGGGUAACGGCCCACCUAGUCAACGAUGGAUAGGGGUUCUGAGAGGAAGGUCCCCCACAUUGGAACUGAGACACGGUCCAAACUCCUACGGGAGGCAGCAGUGAGGAAUAUUGGUCAAUGGGCGAUGGCCUGAACCAGCCAAGUAGCGUGAAGGAUGACUGCCCUAUGGGUUGUAAACUUCUUUUAUAAAGGAAUAAAGUCGGGUAUGCAUACCCGUUUGCAUGUACUUUAUGAAUAAGGAUCGGCUAACUCCGUGCCAGCAGCCGCGGUAAUACGGAGGAUCCGAGCGUUAUCCGGAUUUAUUGGGUUUAAAGGGAGCGUAGAUGGAUGUUUAAGUCAGUUGUGAAAGUUUGCGGCUCAACCGUAAAAUUGCAGUUGAUACUGGAUGUCUUGAGUGCAGUUGAGGCAGGCGGAAUUCGUGGUGUAGCGGUGAAAUGCUUAGAUAUCACGAAGAACUCCGAUUGCGAAGGCAGCCUGCUAAGCUGCAACUGACAUUGAGGCUCGAAAGUGUGGGUAUCAAACAGGAUUAGAUACCCUGGUAGUCCACACGGUAAACGAUGAAUACUCGCUGUUUGCGAUAUACGGCAAGCGGCCAAGCGAAAGCGUUAAGUAUUCCACCUGGGGAGUACGCCGGCAACGGUGAAACUCAAAGGAAUUGACGGGGGCCCGCACAAGCGGUGGAGUAUGUGGUUUAAUUCGAAGCAACGCGAAGAACCUUACCAGGUCUUGACAUUGAUCGCUAUUCCAAGAAAUUGGAAGUUCCUCUUCGGAGGACGAGAAAACAGGUGGUGCACGGCUGUCGUCAGCUCGUGUCGUGAGAUGUUGGGUUAAGUCCCGCAACGAGCGCAACCCUUAUUGCCAGUUACUACGCAAGAGGACUCUGGCGAGACUGCCGUUGACAAAACGGAGGAAGGUGGGGAUGACGUCAAAUCAGCACGGCCCUUACGUCCGGGGCUACACACGUGUUACAAUGGGGGGUACAGAGGGCCGCUACCACGCGAGUGGAUGCCAAUCCCUAAAACCCCUCUCAGUUCGGACUGGAGUCUGCAACCCGACUCCACGAAGCUGGAUUCGCUAGUAAUCGCGCAUCAGCCACGGCGCGGUGAAUACGUUCCCGGGCCUUGUACACACCGCCCGUCAAGCCAUGGGAGCCGGGGGUACCUGAAGUGCGUAACCGCGAGGAUCGUCCUAGGGUAAAACUGGUGACUGGGGCU